rnacentral:rRNA from 1 species
CCAACCUCCCUAUAGUAGAGGAUAGCCCGGCGAAAGUCGGGAUUAAUACUCUAUGUUUUCCGUUGCAGACAUCUAAGAUGGAACAAAGGCUUGCCGCUAUAGGAUGGGGGAUGCGUCUGAUUAGGUAGUCGGCGGGGUAACGGCCCACCGAGCCAUCGAUCAGUAGGGUUCUGAGAGGAAGGUCCCCCACAUUGGAACUGAGACACGGUCCAAACUCCUACGGGAGGCAGCAGUGAGGAAUAUUGGUCAAUGGGCGAGAGCCUGAACCAGCCAAGUAGCGUGCAGGACGACGGCCCUAUGGGUUGUAAACUGUCUUUUAUGCGGGGAUAAAGUUCACUACGUGUAGUGUUUUGUAGGUACCGCAUGAAUAAGGACCGGCUAAUUCCGUGCCAGCCGCUGC